UACGUAGGGGGCAAGCGUUAUCCGGAUUUACUGGGUGUAAAGGGAGCGUAGACGGCAUGGCAAGUCAGAUGUGAAAGCCCGGGGCUCAACCCCGGGACUGCAUUUGAAACUGUCAGGCUGGAGUGCAGGAGAGGUAAGCGGAAUUCCUAGUGUAGCGGUGAAAUGCGUAGAUAUUAGGAGGAACACCAGUGGCGAAGGCGGCUUACUGGACUGUAACUGACGUUGAAGCUCGAAAGCGUGGGGAGCAAACAGG
rnacentral:rRNA from 1 species